GAUGAACGCUGGCGGCGUGCCUAAUACAUGCAAGUCGAGCGAACGGACGAGAAGCUUGCUUCUCUGAUGUUAGCGGCGGACGGGUGAGUAACACGUGGAUAACCUACCUAUAAGACUGGGAUAACUUCGGGAAACCGUAGCUAAUACCGGAUAAUAUUUUGAACCGCAUGGUUCAAAAGUGAAAGACGGUCUUGCUGUCACUUAUAGAUGGAUCCGCGCUGCAUUGGCUAGUUGGUAAGGUAACGGCUUACCAAGGCAACGAUGCAUAGCCGACCUGAGAGGGUGAUCGGCCACACUGGAACUGAGACACGGUCCAGACUCCUACGGGAGGCAGCAGUAGGGAAUCUUCCGCAAUGGGCGAAAGCCUGACGGAGCAACGCCGCGUGAGUGAUGAAGGUCUUCGGAUCGUAAAACUCUGUUAUUAGGGAAGAACGUAUGUGUAAGUAACUGUGCACAUCUUGACGGUACCUAAUCAGAAAGCCACGGCUAACUACGUG
rnacentral:rRNA from 1 species